rnacentral:sRNA from 1 species
AUAAGCAAAUUUGAACCUCUAUCACAUAUUGAAAAGGGUCGUCAUUUUUGUAAUGGUACCUUUUUCAAUGUGUGAUUUUUGUUCUUAUCAAAAAAAACAUGUUAAAUAAAAUCUUGGAGGUAAUCUUCAUGCAAACAGGAACAGUGAAAUGGUUUAACGCAGAGAAAGGCUUUGGUUUUAUCGAAGUGGAAGGCGGAAAUGACGUAUUCGUACACUUCUCCGCAAUUCAAGGCGAAGGCUUCAAAUCGCUGGACGAAGGUCAGCGCGUUGAGUUCAACGUAGUACAAGGCAACCGCGGACCGCAAGCCGAGAACGUUGUAAAGCUGUAAGCCAUAGCAAGCAAGCCGCCCUUAACGAAUGUUAAGGGCGGCUUU